rnacentral:sRNA from 1 species
AACUAGCCCCGAUAGUAACGGCAUCCUUUUUAUUUUUUUGCUUAAAAAGAUAUAGUGGAUAGCGGGAUUAAGC